CACUGAAAAACCAAGAACUGCAGAAUUAUAUCAGACAAGCUUCUGGAAAACGUAAUCGUCUGGGCUUUCUCACUGCCCUGGUUCCAUUUGUUGGAGCCUUGGUUAAUGCGAUUUUUGGUGCUAAAAUUGACGCCGGUCUGGCUGCAAAAAUCCAGGCUGUUUCCAAUGAGUUGUCUCGACUCUCCAAUGAAAAGUCAAACCUGAAGAACUUAGAGUGGAGCAUCCAUGUGAGGUUGACUGAUAACCAGCUGGAACUGGCACGCAAAACAAUAGAAAGAAAGUCAAUACCCAACCCUGUCCAUCUGAAUGAUGUCCAAACCUGCCUCACCCGAAUCCAACAAAUUCUGAUUCAGAUUCAGAAGUUCUGGGAAUCAGUGAGUGUGAUGCUGGAGGCUCUCAAAGAAGAGACUUUUGCGAAUGAACCCUUCAUCGAGGAUAGUGAAAUGAAGGACAUCUUUCUGGAAGCUAUUGUUACAGCACAACAGCAUUGGAAGGCCUUCGGUGAAUCCUGCCUGUAUGCUAGGGGCAUCUUUAGCUUGCAGAGUAAGAAUGCGUAUAAGUUCCUGGAGAUCAGCCCGUCUUCACUGUCAAAAGAUGAAUGGAAAGAACAGUAUAAUGCUGUCAUUGUGCAGCUGAACAAAAUAAGUCCUGAUCCCUUCACUCCCAGCGCUCGAGCUGCCAUUAGUAAUGUACUAGCUUAAGAAGCUGAUACAGUACAAGCAACUUACACAUCUAUAAUGUUUCAGGCUAACAGCUCUGAAUAAUAUGUUUCGUAUUUCUGAUGCUGUUUUAAUAAGUCUUUAAGUGAGAAUUUUUUCAGAAUUUUCAUUUCUCUAAUGC
rnacentral:lncRNA from 1 species